rnacentral:rRNA from 1 species
GACGGAGGGGGCAAGCGUUGUUCGGAAUCAUUGGGCGUAAAGGGCUCGUAGGCGGACUAGUAAGUCUGGCGUGAAAUCUCCACCGCUCACCGGGGAGAGGUCGCUGGAUACUGCUAGUCUUGAGUUCGGUAGAGGGUCGUGGAAUUUCGGGUGUAGCGGUGGAAUGCGUAGAUAUCCGAAAGAACACCAGUGGCGAAGGCGGCUUACUGGCCCAUUACUGACGCUGAGGCGCGAAAGCGUGGGGAGCAAACAGG